CAACCCUCUUCUUCUACUGAAGGGAGUAGUUACAUAAGCAUUGGGACACUGGGUUGGAUCUUCCUGUUUAUAAUAUAAACACACCCUGCAAGGCAAGAGACUUCACUUCACAGUCCUUCCUGCUCAGAAGUACUGUACUUCUGAACCAAAGACUUCAUCUGUCUUUGACUUUGAUUAAAAACUAGGAUAGUUUAGGAUAUUGGGGUUGGUGACUGAACAUGGCAGAAGAUCUUUGUGAGGACUAAGCCAGAACUGAACUUCACAAACUUGACACGAAACCUAUCCAGUGUGAGGAUAAUCGAGAGCCAAGAGAAUAUUGGGUUGUGUCUGAUGGCCUACACCAUGCACACGCACCAACAUCUACGACACUGUCCAGUGUAAGGCCAUUAGAGAGAUCCCGGAGUUUGAGCUUGUCUAUGAUGAUGCUCUACAACCACCAACCCUCACCCUCACCCUCUUCGACCACUUGGGUACCUGUAAAGUUUUGACAAUUUACAUGACUGAGCUGUCAGAUUAUUUGAAAUAGGAGGUAACAAUAAAGCGUUUGAAAUUACUUGCACAUAGAAACUGACCUAUGUAGAGGUAAACAAAAGCAUGACCCUAACCAAACUGGGUUUCUAUAUCGGGAGUGCUUUCUUGGGUACCUGGAAGCAAAUAUCUAAAAAACAGCUUCAAGUGAGAUCUCAGAAGUGCUUGUGUCAGAUCCUUAGGUUAUUUGGAGUAGGCUAGGUUAAAGGUACAUUUUGAAUUGGCUUCUCAGAACUUCAGUGUCUGCUGUAUGCUUGGGGGUUUGCUCUUCAUCAAAUUCUAAUAAAUAUAACCAUGCUUUCAAAUCCAUUUCCUCUUUAGAACAACCAUCUGGGGAGUCAGGUGGCUGAGUGGUGAGGGAAUCGGGCUAGUAAUCCGAAGGUUGUGUGAAAGAAAUUUUGGGCCUAUGUACAAUGAAUGUGUUUUAGGAUAAGUUUACAGUUGGUUAAGAAGCUUGAUACAAUGUAUGUUGAUUAAACUCCAUUUGGUAGAGAUGCCACCUGUAGUUGUAUGACACCUAGCUAGGAGACGUGAAGUCUAAGAGACGGGAAGUCUGGGUGACCUGAGAGAGUUCUCACCUGGGGGGAAGAGACAGUUGGUCUGAAGACAAUGUGGAUUCAACUGUAUUGUUCUAAGGAUUUAACCAAUGACAGAAGAGAUUUGGUAUAGCUGCAUGUCUGUAGGAUGGACCAAUGGCUUUUGAGAACUGUCGUAUCUAUAAAAUGGUCUGUUGAAGAAUGUUCUGGGGGUUCAGGGCCAUCAGCUGGGUAGUGCUGGUGGGCUGGAUUCUCCCGGUUCCAUUCUAGAAUGCUGGAUGGAGCUGUAUAGAAUUGUCUUUGUGUUAUUGUCUUAUGUUUGUGUGUCGAUGAUGUUAUGUUGAUAACGUUAUUAUGUUCAAAUCUACGUCAAAUAAACAUUAACUCUGUACUUCACCCGACUUCAGCUUAAACGAUUGAUUCUCUCAAAAACUUCCACGACAGUUGCCAGUUCGAUUCCCAGUCAUGCUAACUGACGUUGUGUCCUUGGGCAAGGCACUUCACCCUACUUGCCUUGGGGGAGUGUCCCUGUACUUACUGUAAGUCGCUCUGGAUAAGUGUGUCUGCUAAAUGACUAAAUGUAAAAUGUAAUGUAACAUCUCCAGAGGGCCGUCCCAGGGACCAAUCAGGGCCAUCUUCUAUCUCACAACGAAGGAACCUGUGCUUUACCUCAACCGCACCCGUGAUGGUCCAAGCCAGUUGCUAAUUUAACAAGUCAGUGCACAUUCCAAACAGGUUUUGCUGCUCGUAAAACUACACAAUUGUUGUCAUAGUUUGAUUAUCAAUGAAGCCCUUUAAAUGGAUUCUACUGAUGACUGCAUGCUAUAGCCUGUGAGUUUACAUACUUUUUCUGUUUCUGGCAUUUUUCAGAAGACCUGCAACCUUUUCCAGUUUUGUCCUACUACAGUUUUUUUUCCUGUU